rnacentral:rRNA from 1 species
UGGGGGAUAUUGCACAAUGGGCGAAAGCCUGAUGCAGCGACGCCGCGUGGGGGAUGAAGGCCUUCGGGUUGUAAACUUCUUUUGCCCUGAACAAGGCGCACCAUGGGGUGUGUUGAGUGUAGGGGUUGAUUAGCGCCGGCUAACUACGUGCCAGCAGCCGCGGUAAUACGUAGGGCGCGAGCGUUGUCCGGAAUUAUUGGGCGUAAAGGGCGUGUAGGUGGCUGGUUGCGUCUGUCGUGAAAGCUCAUGGCUUAACUGUGGGUUUGCGGUGGGUACGGGCUGGCUUGAGUCCAGUAGUGGAGGCUGGAAUUCCUGGUGUAGCGGUGGAAUGCGCAGAUAUCAGGAGGAAUACCGGUGGCGAAGGCGGGUCUCUGGGCUGUUACUGACACUGAGGAGCGAAAGCAUGGGGAGCGAACAGG